UACGUAGGGGGCAAGCGUUGUCCGGAUUUAUUGGGCGUAAAGGGCGCGCAGGCGGCCUCUUAAGUCAGUUGUGAAAGGUCUCGGCUCAACCGAGGAGUUGCAGCUGAAACUGGGAGGCUUGAGUGCAGGAGAGGAGAGUGGAAUUCUCGGUGUAGCGGUGGAAUGCGUAGAGAUCGGGAGGAACACCAGUGGCGAAGGCGACUCUCUGGCCUGUUACUGACGCUGAGGCGCGAAAGCGUGGGGAGCGAACAGGAUUAGAAACCCCUGUAGUCC
rnacentral:rRNA from 1 species